rnacentral:rRNA from 1 species
CGUUAACGAACGAGACCUUAACCUGCUAAAUAGCUAGGCUUAACAUUGUUAGGUCGUCAGCUUCUUAGAGGGACUUUCGGUGUUUAACCGAAGGAAGUUUGAGGCAAUAACAGGUCUGUGAUGCCCUUAGAUGUUCUGGGCUGCACGCGCGCUACACUGAUGAAGCCAGCGAGUAUUUCCUUGACCGGAAGGUCCGGGUAAUCUUGUUAAACUCUGUCGUGCUGGGGAUAGAGCAUUGCAAUUAUUGCUCUUCAACGAGGAAUCCCUAGUAAGCGCAAGUCAUCAGCUUGCGUUGAUUACGUCCCUGCCCUUUGUACACACCGCCCGUCGCUACUACCGAUUGAAUGGCU